CUAGCGACUUCAGAGUUUGAUCCUGGCUCAGGAUGAACGCUGGCGGCGUGCUUAACACAUGCAAGUCGAACGGAGUUUUAAAGUGGAAGUUUUCAGAUGGAAGCUUUAAACUUAGUGGCGGACGGGUGAGUAACGCGUGGGUAACCUGCCUCACACAGGGGGAUAACACUUAGAAAUAGGUGCUAAUACCGCAUAAGCGCACAGUACCGCAUGGUACCGUGUGAAAAACUCCGGUGGUGUGAGAUGGACCCGCGUCUGAUUAGCUAGUUGGUGAGGUAACGGCCCACCAAGGCGACGAUCAGUAGCCGGCCUGAGAGGGUGAACGGCCACAUUGGGACUGAGACACGGCCCAA
rnacentral:rRNA from 1 species